rnacentral:misc_RNA from 1 species
CUCGAGCUACGUGUGUGUUCAUUUGCACGUCCUCUUGCUGCUUUUUCUUCGAAACGAUCGUACGAGUUUCAAGAAUGCGUCUCAAACAUAAUUUUAGUUCGCGUAUUCUGCAAAUUAUUUUUUUUGGCAAAUUUUUCAAAUUCUUCCGUAACUUUAAAUUGGAAAAUGAAAAGCUUGCAAUUCGAAAUUGCAAAAUGGGGAGCUUAAAUUGAAAAAUGGGCCUAUGGAAUCCUGAAUAAUCGCGACUAUCGCAGAUGUUCGUUUCUACCGUGGCAGUCGACGUAUAAAUCUUCCAACCGUGGGCAAUCUUUUUCAUUUUCCUACAGAAAAUUAUGGGUUAAUUUUUUUACGCUAUUUUGAUUCGUUGUUAACCAUACGUAGAAAAGAAAAAAGAACAAGAGAAACGACCGAAUUCACGGUAAGAGUACGAAACAGAAAAUAUGCUUGAAACGUCGGGAAAUGUUUUUUGUCCCGAGUGUGAAACGUUGUCCUUCAGUCUUAAUACUACCGUUGGCUUUUUCGAGCUGAACGACACGAACGCGGUUGACGAUCCGCAAGAAAUACUCGUCCCAUCUAGGUGUUUUCUCUCGACAAUUGAUAAGGGUACAAGAAUUUUUGCGGCUAUUGUACACCAAUGUAUUUUUUCGAUUUUCAAGCGUUUCUCGAGUAUACUCUACAGGAUCAACUAUUUACAGCAUUGUCUAAAUAAUUACUAGUAAACAAAGAGGUAAACGAGAGAAAAAGGGAAGAAAACGGAAGCAAAAUGGGAAGAAAAGGAAAAAAAUAGUGAAGAAAUAGUCGCGCGAUUCGCUGGAAGAUGGAGUUUAUUCCCGGAGGGAUCGUUUUUCGCGACGAUGCGAGGGAAAUUUCUUAGGUGGACUACGGGAGAUUGCGCGAAGAUUUAUUUGGCAAAACGCCAUUUAGGAAAUUGGUAUCCCGUCUAGAUGGCUGCGUUGAAGAUCACCAAAGCCAGGAACGGAAACAGGUAGCAAAUGAAGAAGUACAUCCAGUGGACGUAAAUGUGUUUCUCCGUGUAGAAAUCUACCUCCCAAAAUCUACGAAAAGCGCAGGACAACGAUACUUUAUAGAUCUUCCGAAACAUGGCACGGUCCGAAAGUUUCGAGAAUCUUUGUAGACUCUGCUUAAUCCUCGAUACUAGCAUAGUAAAAGAGUACGUAUCACGGUGGAUUAUCAAAACUUUCGUCUCGUCUUUCGCGUAAGAGAUUACUCACUUGGGUAA